CUUUUAUGGAGAGUUUGAUCCUGGCUCAGGACGAACGCUGGCGGCGUGCCUAAUACAUGCAAGUCGAGCGGACUUGAUGGAGUGCUUGCACUCCUGAUAGUUAGCGGCGGACGGGUGAGUAACACGUAGGUAACCUGCCUGUAAGACUGGGAUAACAUUCGGAAACGAAUGCUAAUACCGGAUACGCGAGUUGGUCGCAUGGCCGACUCGGGAAAGACGGAGCAAUCUGUCACUUACAGAUGGACCUGCGGCGCAUUAGCUAGUUGGUGAGGUAACGGCUCACCAAGGCGACGAUGCGUAGCCGACCUGAGAGGGUGAUCGGCCACACUGGGAC
rnacentral:rRNA from 1 species